GUGGGGAAUCUUCCGCAAUGGACGAAAGUCUGACGGAGCAACGCCGCGUGAGUGAUGAAGGUCUUCGGAUUGUAAAGCUCUGUUAAUCGGGACGAAAGAGCCUAGUGUGAAUAAUGCUAGGAAGUGACGGUACCGGAAUAGAAAGCCACGGCUAACUACGUGCCAGCAGCCGCGGUAAUACGUAGGUGGCAAGCGUUGUCCGGAAUUAUUGGGCGUAAAGCGCGCGCAGGCGGAUCUGCCAGUCUGUCUUAAAAGUUCGGGGCUUAACCCCGUGAUGGGAUCGAAACUACAGAUCUAGAGUAUCGGAGAGGAAAGUGGAAUUCCUAGUGUAGCGGUGAAAUGCGUAGAUAUUAGGAAGAACACCAGUGGCGAAGGCGACUUUCUGGACGAAAACUGACGCUGAGGCGCGAAAGCCAGGGGAGCGAACGGGAUUAGAAACCCCUGUAGUCC
rnacentral:rRNA from 1 species